UUCUCGUUACGAUCACUGAAGUUAAGCAACGUCGAGCCUGGUCAGUAGCUAGGUGGGUGACCGUUUGGGAAUUCCAGGUGCUGUAA